rnacentral:rRNA from 1 species
AUGUACCUAAGAUGUGCAGUGCAUGAGUUUCCAGCAAAGUGGGCAUUGUGGCUUCCUCAGGCUGAAUUUUGGUAUAACACCUCAUAUCAUUCAUCACUGGGGUGUACACCUUACAAAGUCCUCUAUGGGUGUGCUCCUAACAUGGGACAGCUACUGGGACACCGAACCUCUCUCAACUCAGAUGUGAAUACUUGGCUGGCAGAUCAUACUCAACACACUACAGCACUCAAAGAGCACUUGACUAGAGCUCAGUGUAAAUACAAGCACUUUGCUGACAAAAAACGCUCUGAGAGAGAAUUUUCUGUCGGAGAGAUGGUGUACUUACGGUUACAGCCUUACACUCAGUCUACAGUAGUGAACCGGCCUUGCCGCAAGCUGGCACUGAAGUAUUUUGGGCCCUACAAAAUACUGGACAGGAUUGGAACAGUAGCUUAUCGUCUAGAAUUACUGCGAGGCAGUCAAGUGCACCCUGUUUUUCAUGUGUCACAACUGAAGAACCAUGUGCCAGAUCAUACACCAGUGUUUUCGUUGUUGCCUGUUCCGAUCGAUCUGCUGCUCCUGGUGUUUUUCCUGAAGAGAUUCUGGAUCGCUGUCUGGUCAAGAAGGGCAAGACCUCUCACUUGCAAGUGCUAA